CAGGGCCUCUCCACAGCAGGCCAGGAACUCGGGGAUGCUGCAGGGAUGGGCAGCGACUCCCAACUUCUGCUUCAGCAGCAGGAACUGCGGGGAGACAGCCUGGUGUACAUUAAUUUGUAUUUUCUAUGGAUUUGUUUAUAUUUUCUUUUAGAUCUCUUUUUAUUUUCUAUUUCCGUUUCUAUUGUCUUUGAUAUUGCUUUCUAUUUUCUAUUUUAUUUUACAUUUUCUUUUCUACUUCCUUUUCUAUUGUCUUUGAUAUUUCUUUCAUUUUCUUUUAUAUUUCCUAUUUUCUUUGAUACAUUUCCUUUAUAUUUUAUUUUCUUAGAUAUUUUCUUUGAUAUUUCCUUUCCAUUUUUCCCAUUUCUUUGAUAUGUAUUUGAUACUUUAUUUUUUAGAUUUCUUUAUAUUUUCUUUGAUAUUUCCUAUUUUCUUUUAUAUUCCUUUAUAUUUUGAUCCUUCUUUAUAUAUUCUUUGAUAUUUCUUUACAUUUUCUUUGAUAUUUCUAUUUUCUUUUAUAUUCCUUUCUAUUUUCUUUUAUAUUCCUUUCUAUUUUUUAUAUUUUCUUUGAUAUUUCUAUUUUCCUUUCUUUUUACUUUAUAUUUUUUAUAUUUUCUUUAUAUUUUCUAUUAUAUUACUUUAUAUUUUCCUUUAUAUUUUCCUUUCUAUUUCCUUCAUAUUUUCUUUAAUAUUCCUUAUAUUUUAAUAUUUUCCUUUACAUUUUCCAUGAUAUCCCUUUCUAUUUUUUUUUAUAUUUUCCUUUAUACUUUCCUUGAUAUUUCUUAAUUUUUUUUUUAUAUUUUCCUUUAUAUUUUUUUUUGAUAUUUCCUUUAUAUUUCCUUUUCCAUUCUCCCCAUUCCUCACGUGUUUCCUGCUGGCAAUGGCCUGUUGGACCCACAGCAGCUCCAGCAGCAGCCGAGUCCUGAGGGCCUGCAGCUCCCAGCGGGGCAGCCCCUGCAGCUCCUCUGGGAUUUCUGCAAAAAAUGGGGAAAAAAUCAAAAUUCAGUCAUGUAGGGGCUGAUCCUGCAGCUCCUCUGGGAUUCCUGCAAAAAAAAUGGGGAAAAAACUCAAAAUUCAGCCCCUGCAGUUCCUCUGGGAUUCCUGCAAAAAAUGGGGAAAAAUCAAAAUUCAGCCCCUGCAGCUCCUCUGGGAUUUCUGCAAAAAUGGGGAAAAAACCAAAAUUCAGCCUCUGCAGCUCCUCUGGGAUUCCUGCAGAAAAUGGGGAAAAAACCCAAAAUUCAGUCAUGUAGGGGCAGCUCCUGCAGCUCCUCUGGGAUUCCUGCAAAAAAUGGGGAAAAAAUCAAAAUUCAGCCCCUGCAGCUCCUCUGGGAUUCCUGCAAAAAUGGG
rnacentral:lncRNA from 1 species